CACGUAGGGGGCAAGCGUUGUUCGGAAUUACUGGGCGUAAAGGGCAUGUAGGCGGCCUUGUAAGCUUGGCGUGAAAGUCCACGGCUUAACCGUGGGAUUGCGUUGAGAACUGCGAGGCUUGAGUGACGGAGAGGGAGCUAGAAUUCCUGGUGUAGGGGUGGAAUCUGUAGAGAUCAGGAAGAAUACCAAUGGCGAAGGCAAGCUCCUGGCCGAUGACUGACGCUGAGGUGCGAAAGUGUGGGGAUCAAACAGG
rnacentral:rRNA from 1 species